rnacentral:rRNA from 1 species
UACGUAGGUGGCAAGCGUUGUCCGGAUUUACUGGGCGUAAAGGGUGUGUAGGCGGAUGUUUAAGUGAGAUGUGAAAUACCCGGGCUUAACUUGGGUGCUGCAUUUCAAACUGGAUAUCUAGAGUGCAGGAGAGGAGAAUGGAAUUCCUAGUGUAGCGGUGAAAUGCGUAGAGAUUAGGAAGAACACCAGUGGCGAAGGCGAUUCUCUGGACUGUAACUGACGCUGAGGCACGAAAGCGUGGGUAGCAAACAGGG